UACGUAGGGUGCAAGCGUUAAUCGGAAUUACUGGGCGUAAAGCGUGCGCAGGCGGUUUUGUAAGUCUGUCGUGAAAUCCCCGGGCUUAACCUGGGAAUUGCGAUGGAGACUGCAAGGCUGGAGUCUGGCAGAGGGGGAUGGAAUUCCGCGUGUAGCAGUGAAAUGCGUAGAUAUGCGGAGGAACACCGAUGGCGAAGGCAUCCCCUGGGCCUGCACUGACGCUCAUGCACGAAAGCGUGGGGAGCAAACAGG
rnacentral:rRNA from 1 species